rnacentral:rRNA from 1 species
AGUCGAGGGGUAUAGUUCUUCGGAACUAGAGACCGGCGCACGGGUGCGUAACGCGUAUGCAAUCUACCUUUUACAGAGGGAUAGCCCAGAGAAAUUUGGAUUAAUACCUCAUAGUAUUAUGAAAUGGCAUCAUUUUAUAAUUAAAGUCACAACGGUAAAAGAUGAGCAUGCGUCCCAUUAGCUAGUUGGUAAGGUAACGGCUUACCAAGGCUACGAUGGGUAGGGGUCCUGAGAGGGAGAUCCCCCACACUGGUACUGAGACACGGACCAGACUCCUACGGGAGGCAGCAGUGAGGAAUAUUGGACAAUGGGCGCAAGCCUGAUCCAGCCAUGCCGCGUGCAGGAUGACGGUCCUAUGGAUUGUAAACUGCUUUUAUACAGGAAGAAACACUGGUUCGUGAACCAGCUUGACGGUACUGUAAGAAUAAGGAUCGGCUAACUCCGUGCCAGCAGCCGCGGUAAUACGGAGGAUCCAAGCGUUAUCCGGAAUCAUUGGGUUUAAAGGGUCCGUAGGCGGUUUAAUAAGUCAGUGGUGAAAGCCCAUCGCUCAACGGUGGAACGGCCAUUGAUACUGUUAAACUUGAAUUAUUAGGAAGUAACUAGAAUAUGUAGUGUAGCGGUGAAAUGCUUAGAGAUUACAUGGAAUACCAAUUGCGAAAGGCAGGUUACUACUAAUUGAUUGACGCUGAUGG